rnacentral:rRNA from 1 species
UGAAUACGAGAUGCUACGGCAUCGAAGCAGUCUAUGUCAUACUUCCGAGAAAAGCUUGCACUGUCAUAAACAAAUAAUGCCUGUACCAUAACCGACACAGGUGGGUAGGUAGAGUAUACUAAGGGGCGCGAGAUAACUCUCUCUAAGGAACUCGGCAAAAUGACUCCGUAACUUCGGGAGAAGGAGUGCCUUAUUUUAUAAGGUUGCAAUAACAAGAUCCAAGCAACUGUUUACCAAAAACACAGGUCUCCGCUAAGUCGUAAGACGAUGUAUGGGGGCUGACGCCUGCCCAGUGCCAGAAGGUUAAAGAAGUUGGUUAGCAUUAGCGAAGCUGAUAACUGAAGCCCUGGUGAACGGCGGCCGUAACAAUAACGGUCCUAAGGUAGCGAAAUUCCUUGUCGGGUAAGUUCCGACCCGCACGAAAGGCGUAAUGAUUUGGAUACUGUCUCGGAGAGGGGCUCGGUGAAAUAGACUUGUCUGUGAAGAUGCGGACUACCUGCACCAGGACAGAAAGACCCUAUGAAGCUUUACUGUAACUUGAGAUUGAAAUUGGACUUUAUUUGCGCAGUAUAGGUGGGAGACGUUGAAAAUAUUCUUGCGGGAAUAUUGGAGUCAUCAGUGAGAUACCACUCUUAUAAUGUUAGAUUUCUAACUUUGUAUCAUUAUCUGGUCAAAGAACAGUCUCAGGCGGGCAGUUUGACUGGGGCGGUCGCCUCCCAAACGGUAACGGAGGCGCACAAAGGUUUCCUCUGAACGUGUAGAAAUCGUAUCUAGAGUGUAAAGGCAUAAGGAAGCUUGACUGUGAGACCUACAAGUCGAGCAGGGACGAAAGUCGGUCUUAGUGAUCUGACGGUGCUGAGUGGAAAGGCCGUCACUCAACGGAUAAAAGUUACUCUAGGAUAACAGGCUGAUCUCCCCCAAGAGUUCACAUCGACGGGGAGGUUUGGCACCUCGAUGUCGGCUCAUCGCAUCCUGGGGCGGUAGUACGUCCCAAGGGUUGGGCUGUUCGCCCAUGAAAGCGGUACGCGAGCUGGGUUCAGAACGUCGUGAGACAGUUCGGUCCAUAUCCGGUGUAGGCGUUAGAAUAUUGAGAGGAGCCUUCUUUAGUACGAGAGGACCGAGAAGGACAUACCUCUGGUGUACCAGUUAUCGUGCCAACGGUAAACGCUGGGUAGCUAUGUAUGGAGAGGAUAACCGCUGAAAGCAUCUAAGUGGGAAGCCCACCUCAAGAUAAGUAUUCUCA